GUGUGAAGUCCUUUGUGAAUGAGCCACAUUUUUUACUCAUUCAAGUCCCUACAGCAUAAUCACAUAGAUUAACUCACUUGGAUCGUUAAUUGUUACACUGUAAGAACUCCACAAACUUGAUCAGAGAGGAAACAGAAUGUCUGUGGUCAGAAGUUCCUUCUUGGGACUAAACCAGUUGAAGCUGGCAAAAUCCAUGAUGGCAGCUUACUCGAUCUUUGAAGAACCUCUAGCUUCAUUAUACUCCAACUUCCAUACUAAAUGACACUCCCACCAAUGCCAUGACAGUUGACAAUCAUCAUGACAGUGACCAAAAAGAACCAAAAAAGGACAGGAAAGAAGUGGCUACUUGAUUCCAGGAAAAUCUCCAUCCUUUCCCAAGAAAAGCAUGAAUAUUCCUCUCCUUGGUUUUAACGCUCAAACCUUUCAUUAAAGAUACCUUGUGUCUGUAACUUCCUGAUUCUCAGGAGCUGACAUGUUGAUGUGUGAGCCACACUCCCACUUCUCCAUGUCAUGACCAUCGAAUAAAACCUGUACUGCUCUAUGCUCA
rnacentral:lncRNA from 1 species